rnacentral:rRNA from 1 species
GACGAACGCUGGCGGCGUGCCUAAUACAUGCAAGUAGAACGCUGAAACUUGGUGCUUGCACCGAGCGGAUGAGUUGCGAACGGGUGAGCAACGCGUAGGUAACCUGCCUGGUAGCGGGGGAUAACUAUUGGAAACGAUAGCUAAUACCGCAUAAGAGUAGAUGUUGCAUGACAUUUGCUUAAAAGGUGCAAUUGCACCACUACCAGAUGGACCUGCGUUGUAUUAGCUAGUUGGUGGGGUAACGGCUCACCAAGGCGACGAUACAUAGCCGACCUGAGAGGGUGAUCGGCCACACUGGGACUGAGACACGGCCCAGACUCCUACGGGAGGCAGCAGUAGGGAAUCUUCGGCAAUGGACGGAAGUCUGACCGAGCAACGCCGCGUGAGUGAAGAAGGGUUUCGGAUCGUAAAGCUCUGUUGUAAGAGAAGAACGAGUGUGAGAGUGGAAAGUUCACACUGUGACGGUAUCUGACCAGAAAGGGACGGCUAACUACGUG